CAAAAAGUUCGUCCAGAUUUUUCCAUAAGAUGUUACAGAAAAACUGGAACGAACUUUUGGGC
ensembl:miRNA